AACCACUAUACGAUCACGGCGAGCUACCAGGGCCAUGCCCCGUUAGGGAGACGUAGGGAUCUUAAAUGAAACCUACAGUGACGUGGAGUAGCGUUCAAGCAGAGAUAUCUUAGUUUAUGUUUUGUCUCUCACAUGACAUGUAACGCAAGUAAUCAUAAUAUUAUCUGUCCAAGUCUUUGAUGAUUCUCCAGAGCUGUGAAUAAUGAAUCGUAAACUUAACCCUAUACUCUGCUGCCAGUGGACGUCUGGCAGGUCAGAGACUGAUAGAUCCAUCCUCUGGAGUUGGGGGAACCCAAUAUGUUGCCCCUGGAUGAUAUAAACAAGGAGAGGUUGACCGUCACCCUCAUGGAUGCUAAUCAUUGUCCAGGGGAGGGCAUGUUCCUAUUCCAAGGAUACUUCGGAACCAUACUCUACACUAGCAGAACACUGUAUUCCACUGUACCACACAAUACUCUACAGGGGUCAGUACUAACUCUAUUCUACUACACCAUACACAAUACACUGUUGAGUCUCUCUCUAGUCUUAACUAGUCAACAAUGGUAUUUAGCCACAUUUUCUACAUCAAGCAGGCCUUCACUGUGACGUGGCUAAGGUAGCUAAAUUCCAAAGUCUAACGUUACACUUUGAUGCCAGUUAGAUUACAGUUAGUGCUUGUGUGUCUGUGGGAGAUAUUGGGUUAUUCAAGCAUGCAGUGACGUGGACAGGCAGAGUUGACUUUUUGGCUUUCCGCUCAAGGGGUCUCCACAAGCCCUGGUAACUCGCCAUGAUCGUACAGUGGUUAGUGCUCUGUGUUGUGGCCGCAGAAUCCGGGUCACGCCAAUUUGAUACACAAUGUUACGGCAAAAAUUCCCCUUUUGAAUGACUCAAAGUACUAACUGUGUAAUCUAAAAUAUAAACACAACAUGUAAAGUGUUGGUCCCAUGUUUCAUGAGCUGAAAUAAAACAUCCUGGUCUACAGUCUAUGACUUAGGUGGCUGGAGUCUGACAAUUCUUUGGGCCUUCCUCUGACACCGCCUGGUAUAGAGAUCCUGGAUGUCAGGAAGCUCGGCCUCAGUGAUGUACUGGGCCAUACGCACUACCCUCUGUAGCAACUUGCAGUCGGAUGCCGAGCAGUUGCCAUACCAAGCGGUGAUGCAGCCAGUCAAAAUGCUCUCAAUGGUGCAGCUUUAGAUAUUUUUGAGGAUCUGAGGUCCAAUGCCAAAUCUUUUCAGCCUCCUGUGGGGAAAUAGGCAUUGCCGUGGCCUCUCCUGUUAACUAGACAGGUGCUUUAACCAACUAAGCCACAGCACCUCGUAGAGUGAAAUCAUUGUCUGAGCUAGAACACCCAAAAGGGCAGGAGCCUUGCUCCUAUUUAUGUAGCCUUUGGCAGCUUGAUUUUCAAGUACACCCCUUGGACAAGAUGCCUCUGUUGUAUUUUUUCCCAAAUUCCCUUUUCUAUAUUUUUUAUGGACUUUCGAGGUUUCUGUUUUUUGAGGGUUUUUUUCAGGUUUUCGGGCCACAAAAGCACACUUAAAAAACAAAAGUAAAAACCAACUAAAUUGGAUGUUCUAAGUCCACACAACAAUGCUUGAACCACAUCAGGAGACCGCGGCAACACUUACAACAUUUACAUUUACAUUUUUAGUCAUUUAGCAGACGCUCCUAUCCAGAGCGACUUACAGUAGUGAAUACAUACAUUUCAUUUCAU
rnacentral:lncRNA from 1 species